CUCCAGCCAGCGCCUCCCUCCACCCCAGGACGUCACUCAUUUCAUCUCAUUUAGGGGAAAUAUAUAUACAUAUAUAUUUGAGGAAACUGAGGACCUCGGAAUCUCUAGCAAGGGCUAAGGAGACACUCCCCAUCCCGACCCCGGAAACGUAUUCCUAUUUGAAGCAAGUUGAACGGACAGAGAAGGGAAGAAGAGAAGGGGCAAGAAGGAGCGAGGAAUGGAAAGAAAGCAUUGGAGUAGAGGAGAAGGAAGGACAGAUGGGAUUACAGAGAGAAGAGAGAAACGGCAAGGCAGACAGGGCUUCACAACCAGGGCUGGAUCUGCCCUUUGCUUUCAACUCUAGCCUGGGGUCAGAGAAAGGUUGGGACACUCAAAAAUGUGGCAUUCAGUGACACCCAGUUUAAUCGUGGGGAGAAAAGGAACAAGGUGUGUCAGUGCCUCUCUGGGGUCUGUUGCUUCCUCCGGCCAGCAGUGUGGAUGGCUAGACCCCUCACCCUCCUCUCCUCUUACCCAAGUGCAGGGUGGUUUCUUCCCCAAAUUUAUAAAGAUGAAAAUGCAUUCCAUCCCUCUGAAAACAAAGGAAACCAAGUGAUUGCAGAUAGGUUUUUCCCCCUGAGCAGAAGAGUGAACUCAGAAUGUGUACAAAUUUUACUCUUGUUGGAAUUUUUUUUUUUUAAGAAAUCAGUAUGCCCCACCCCCAACACUGGAAAGACUUGAUUUUCCAGGGUGACAAGUAUUCAGAAGCAUGUGGCUUUGGCCCUUGAUUCCACUAGACUCAAAGCUGGCCCGGCAGCCUCUGUGGAGGAGGAGGAUAGGCGGAGAAAACGAAGGGGUUUGUACUUACCUACAAGGCUCCAUGUAGACUUAUAUAGGCAUAUAAAUCUAUUUUCUUUACUUUUAUUCCCCCUUCCCUUUCUUUCAAAGUUUUUGCAUUACCUCUUUGAAGUAGUUUUUUUUUUAGGGCCCUGAAGAUCUUCCUCGUUCUGAGAAAUCCAUAUUUCACUACUACAACCCAGAACGCCUGCUUUGGCCUGCUUCUGGCAGCCUUUCUCAUGAACUACAGAUGUGGCUCUUUAGUGGGGCACAUUUGGAUCUUCUCCUGAUUCCCAGCCUGUGUUUAAAUGUACCCACCAAGCCAGGUAGCUGCCAGCACCCAAGGGUGCAUCAACUGUGCAGUCCAUUUCAGCCUUCCAACCUUUGGAAAGUAACUGUCUCACACCACACCACAUAAACCCACCAGACCCAUCUUCAACCCACUGGCCUGCCCAGGCCUUUUACUCUAUCUGCAUUUUUUUGAAUUGCAUUUUGGAAGUCUCCCUCAGAUGCCAGACUGACAGAUCAGAGAGAAACUGCCAUGAGAGAUGACAGAGGAGGAGGAAGUAGAGGGUGGGGAGCGCCUUCCACAGAGAGACAUAGAAGAUAUAGCAAGGAUGAACUCUUGGGGGAGAACAAGAAAGAGACAAGAAAGAGAGAAAUACCCAUAGAAUUUUCCUUGGUGUCUCCCAGCUAAUCAGCUCUCUGGAAUUUGAAAGGAAAAUGGGGGGAAAGGGGCUCUGAGGUAGAAAUGAGCUCAGCUCAAGUCACAGAGCCCAGAUGGUGGGUAAUUGAGGCAAGAUGCAGACUGGAGACGCAUGGUUGGAAACAAGGAUCAAUAGCCUGAAUGGGUAUUGAAGGGUGAAGAGGACGCCUGUGAAAGACAGCACAAUUUCAGUCCAACUUCAGCCCUCCAAGGAGGGACUGAGGCCAAAGAAUCUUUCAAGCGCUUCAUUGAUUCUGCCCAACUCAAGCAUCCUCCCUGGGACAGAGGAUGGUAGAAAGCCCAGGACAGCUCAGGCCUAGAUCUUCAGAGAAUUUGAUCCAAGAGAAAAAUCUCAUUGACCACUGGCUUCUUCACCAAAGAGGUGUUUCACAAAGGGCUUAGGACUGUCUUUGAAGACUGAAGAUUGCCUGCCAGGAGAGGGGACUAGGACAUUGGUACAGGAGGCCCCCCUUUGGCUGUGGACACAGCUCUUUCCUCUUUUUUGAUGGCAUGCCAUAGUAGAGGUCCCCUCCAACACAGGCACGUGGAGCAACAAAAAGGGACAGCAAAGAAACAAACGUAUGUCAACUCAUAGGACAUGGAUGGCUACGGAGCUAGGAGGGGUUGUCUCCUAUUGCCUGGACAGGACAGUUGGCUGGGAAUAAAGGAGGCAGUUGAUCUUCACAAGACAAAGGGCCUGAUGGAGUUGGCAAUAUAAGGACUUACCAGACCUGCAGGGUCAGUUUUAACCAUCACCCUGCACGACAUCCCCAGCCCCCAACCUGAACUUGUGUAUCUUAGGCCAGUAUCCUAAACCUUUUCCAUGAGUCUUCUUCUUUCUGCCAUUUUUCCUCUGGAUCUUGAGCAGUCAUCAGACUGAGAUUUGCCAAGUGGAUACUGGGGUACUGUUACCCCCAAGAAAAGACUGAGCCAGGAACUGCCUACCUACUACCCCUCCCAGGCCUGGAGCUAACUCCUGUGAGGGGUGGUAUCUUCACCCCACUACUUGCUGGACCUUGAAUGAGCCUCUGCCCCUUACAUGGGCUCUUUGUUUUGAGCCACAGAUAGAGGACAUUGUAUAGACACUUAGCCUUCCCCAGUUCAGCCUACCUCCCCCAAGAUUGUGAGUCUCCCCGCUGCUUAUACGGAGAGGCAUGUCUAAGACAGCAAGUCUUUUCCUAGAGGAAGCUUGCCUUUAACAGUCAGAUGGGACUAAGCCUUCCAAACGGGAGGUCUGACUGAACCCAGGAUAUAGAGACCAUGGAAAUGGGGUCAUCGAGAGAAGAGGGAUGCCCUUGUCCAUGUUAUGGGGAGAGAAGGCAGGCUUGCAAUGGUCCCAUCAUGCCCUGCGUAAGAAGCUUCUUGGAUCAAGACUAGCCUUUAGCUCCACUAGAGGCCUCUAUGUUGGGUUUAUCCACAGCCGUAGGUCUAAGUGUUGCCUGUCCCCACCUCCACCUCCCAUGAAGGGCUUCUUCCCACCCCUUUUUGACAAAUGCCUCACUCAAGCAGUGGAAAAGAUAGCUCUCUUCUCCAUCUACUGCCAGGUAACUGAGAGAGGCCUAACCAGGACCUGUUCUCCACCCCAGCCAGUCUUGACCAGCCAGAACAAAGCAGGGAACCUGGAGAAUAAAAGACUCUACGUUCCUCUGACAAAGACUCUACGUUUCUCUGACGGCCAGGCCUAAACAGACAAGGCUUGGGAACAUCUGCC
rnacentral:lncRNA from 1 species